UCCGAUUUGUCACCGGCAGUCUCCUAUGAGUUCCCACCAUAACGUGCUGGCAACAUAGAACGAGGGUUGCGCUCGUUGCGGGACUUAACCCAACAUCUCACGACACGAGCUGACGACAACCAUGCACCACCUGUGCAGGGCCCUUACGGACACCGUAUCUCUACGGCUUUUCCCUGCAUGUCAAACCUUGGUAAGGUUCUUCGCGUCGCGUCGAAUUAAGCAACAUGCUCCGCCGCUUGUGCGGGCCCCCGUCAAUUCCUUUGAGUUUUAGCCUUGCGGCCGUACUCCCCAGGCGGGGCGCUUAAUGCGUUAGCUGCGGCACGGAAUCCGUGGAAGGACCCCACACCUAGCGCCCAACGUUUACAGCGUGGACUAC
rnacentral:misc_RNA from 1 species